UACGAAGGGGGCUAGCGUUGCUCGGAUUUACUGGGCGUAAAGGGCGCGUAGGCGGACAGUUUAGUCAGAGGUGAAAGCCCGGGGCUCAACCUCGGAAUUGCCUUCAAAACUCUUAAGCUAGAGUUCGGAAGAGGAGAGUGGAAUUCCCAGUGUAGAGGUGAAAUUCGUAGAUAUUGGGAAGAACACCAGUGGCGAAGGCGGCUCUCUGGUCCGAUACUGACGCUGAGGUGCGAAAGCGUGGGGAGCAAACAGGAUUAGAAA
rnacentral:rRNA from 1 species